rnacentral:lncRNA from 1 species
ACUUUGAGAGGACGAAGCGGGCGGAUCACGAGAGACGAGGUUUUGCCAUGUUGCCAGGCUGGUCUCCAGCUUCUGGGAUCAAGCAAUCCUUCCGCGUGAGCCUCCGAAAGUGAUGUGAUUGCAGGCGUGAGCCACCGCGCCUAGUUUAGGUUGAGCAGCGAAAGGGAUAGGGCCCAGUGCUUUCUCUGCGAGGUUCAGUUGGCCUGUCCCUGUCCUAUCACCGUUUGUCACCGUUUGGGGAGCGCCACGGAAUGCACUGUCUCCAAUCCAGAGGCGCACUGGUCGCCUUGGCAACGGAGUCCG